UCUCUGAUGUUAGCGGCGGACGGGUGAGUAACACGUGGAUAACCUACCUAUAAGACUGGGAUAACUUCGGGAAACCGGAGCUAAUACCGGAUAAUAUUUUGAACCGCAUGGUUCAAAAGUGAAAGACGGUCUUGCUGUCACUUAUAGAUGGAUCCGCGCUGCAUUAGCUAGUUGGUAAGGUAACGGCUUACCAAGGCAACGAUGCAUAGCCGACCUGAGAGGGUGAUCGGCCACACUGGAACUGAGACACGGUCCAGACUCCUACGGGAGGCAGCAGUAGGGAAUCUUCCGCAAUGGGCGAAAGCCUGACGGAGCAACGCCGCGUGAGUGAUGAAGGUCUUCGGAUCGUAAAACUCUGUUAUUAGGGAAGAACAUAUGUGUAAGUAACUGUGCACAUCUUGACGGUACCUAAUCAGAAAGCCACGGCUAACUACGUGCCAGCAGCCGCGGUAAUACGUAGGUGGCAAGCGUUAUCCGGAAUUAUUGGGCGUAAAGCGCGCGUAGGCGGUUUUUUAAGUCUGAUGUGAAAGCCCACGGCUCAACCGUGGAGGGUCAUUGGAAACUGGAAAACUUGAGUGCAGAAGAGGAAAGUGGAAUUCCAUGUGUAGCGGUGAAAUGCGCAGAGAUAUGGAGGAACACCAGUGGCGAAGGCGACUUUCUGGUCUGUAACUGACGCUGAUGUGCGAAAGCGUGGGGAUCAAACAGGAUUAGAUACCCUGGUAGUCCACGCCGUAAACGAUGAGUGCUAAGUGUUAGGGGGUUUCCGCCCCUUAGUGCUGCAGCUAACGCAUUAAGCACUCCGCCUGGGGAGUACGACCGCAAGGUUGAAACUCAAAGGAAUUGACGGGGACCCGCACAAGCGGUGGAGCAUGUGGUUUAAUUCGAAGCAACGCGAAGAACCUUACCAAAUCUUGACAUCCUUUGACAACUCUAGAGAUAGAGCCUUCCCCUUCGGGGGACAAAGUGACAGGUGGUGCAUGGUUGUCGUCAGCUCGUGUCGUGAGAUGUUGGGUUAAGUCCCGCAACGAGCGCAACCCUUAAGCUUAGUUGCCAUCAUUAAGUUGGGCACUCUAAGUUGACUGCCGGUGACAAACCGGAGGAAGGUGGGGAUGACGUCAAAUCAUCAUGCCCCUUAUGAUUUGGGCUACACACGUGCUACAAUGGACAAUACAAAGGGCAGC
rnacentral:rRNA from 1 species